CCUACGUGGGGCAGCAGUGGGGAAUUUUGGACAAUGGGCGAAAGCCUGAUCCAGCCAUGCCGCGUGUAUGAAGAAGGCCUUAGGGUUGUAAAGUACUUUUGUUAGGGAAGAAAAGGCAUUUACUAAUAUCAGAUGCUGAUGACGGUACCUAAAGAAUAAGCACCGGCUAACUACGUGCCAGCAGCCGCGGUAAUACGUAGGGUGCGAGCGUUAAUCGGAAUUACUGGGCGUAAAGCGAGCGCAGACGGUUACUUAAGCAGGAUGUGAAAUCCCCGGGCUCAACCUGGGAACUGCGUUCUGAACUGGGUAGCUAGAGUGUGUCAGAGGGCGGUAGAAUUCCACGUGUAGCAGUGAAAUGCGUAGAGAUGUGGAGGAAUACCGAUGGCGAAGGCAGCCUCCUGGGAUAACACUGACGUUCAUGCUCGAAAGCGUGGGUAGCAAACAGGAUUAGAUACCCUAGUAGUC
rnacentral:rRNA from 1 species